rnacentral:misc_RNA from 1 species
AACAUCGCGCACCUGCGGGAACCUGCGGAAGGAUCAUUACUGAGUGCGGGUUCUGAUCGAGCCCAACCUCCCACCCGUGUUUACCGUGACCGUGUUGCUUUGGCGGGCCCACUAGGGCUCCCCUCUGGUCGCCGGGGGGCUGCUGCCCCCGGGCCCGUGCCCGCCGAAGCGCCUGUGAACCCUGUCUGAAUAGUGAGUCUGAGUGUGGGAUGAAAUCAUUAAAACUUUUAACAAUGGAUC